AAAAAUUUGGGUUUCAAAGUGUAAGAAAGCACCCCUCUUUCGAGUCAAUUUCGGGUUCAAGCUUUUGGUGAAAGAUAUGGUUGUGGACUCGUGGCGAUCGUUGAACGUUUAUAAACCCAGCUUAACUCGAUCUUAACUUCUCAUUGCCGAUCAAGGAAAUCAAGAAUUUCUUGGAUGUGAAGUUUGUUUGAUACUUAUGUUGGACUCGGGCUUAGACUUUCGUGGAUCAAUGAUUCAUUCGCCCCUUGCUUAACUUUAUGCUUAGGAUCGAUAGCCGUCUUUUAAUUGUGCAUUUUGUACUUUAUAUCGCGGUUGGAUUCACCGGAUCCCUUUUAUUCAUUUAGACUUAUUCUGCGAUAAUUUCAUGCAUACGCUAUAUCUUUUCGGUAAUAUU